rnacentral:rRNA from 1 species
GACGAACGCUGGCGGCGUGCCUAACACAUGCAAGUCGAGCGGAGACAGUGAGUAGCUUGCUACGAGCUGUUUUAGCGGCGGACGGGUGAGUAACGCGUGAGCAACCUUUCCCAGACAGGGGAAUAACACACCGAAAGGUGUACUAAUACCGCAUAAGACCACGGGAUCACAUGGUUCUGGGGUAAAAGAUUUAUCGGUUUGGGGUGGGCUCGCGUCCGAUUAGGUAGUUGGUGAGGUAACGGCCCACCAAGCCGACGAUCGGUAGCCGACCUGAGAGGGUGAUCGGCCACAUUGGGACUGAGACACGGCCCAAACUCCUACGGGAGGCAGCAGUGGGGAAUAUUGGGCAAUGGGGGGAACCCUGACCCAGCAACGCCGCGUGGAGGAAGAAGGUUUUCGGAUCGUAAACUCCUGUCCUUGGAGACGAGUAGAAGACG